AAGAGAGGAAACUGUGAACUGUGAGGUGUGGCUCUCAGGGCUCCCUGCUGCAUGUUGAGGAAACAGCCUACCUGGUGCUGUGAGGACACAGAUCCCCAUUACUGCAUUUUGGGAGGCUCUGAUACAACCUGCCCAGGACUUUCAUCCCUCUGCUAGGUCUUCUGUGUGCAGUCCACCACAACGGGGUGCUUUUCAGGCAUUGAAAGUAUGCCUGAGAAGUGAGAAAUUCCACAGCCCUUCCCAUGGAAAUCUCGGUCCACAAUGUAGGGAAGUCUCCAAAGGGCUCUGUGCUCUGAAGAGUGCCAUGCUUACCAGCACAUCCAAGGGACCACAACUGGGAAAUUGGUUGCUGCCCCUGACACCAGGAGCACAGAAACUCCUGGAGCUCUUGCUGGGAUGAUGGGCCUUUGCAAAGAUCUGCCUCUGCUGCUCUUCGAGCCUUAGAGGGGUAAUUAUGCUACAACUGACUCACAGAUAAUGGAGCCCAGAAGCACACAUCUUCUUGGAAUGAGCCCCACCAGACAAGCUCUCCUCAGGCUGCCCUGGUUGUGAGUUCCUGAGGUACAUACAGCUUCAGACGGGAGACGACAGAGCAUGUGGGAAGACAACAUCAAAGCCAGUGCUUGUUACAGACCCUUCCUCCGAUUCUGUUGGAUACCCUGGCAGCAAAAUCACCAUGUUUCUGCAGAAUGGGAUUGACAGUCUGGGGACUUUGUGUAGCAGUCCUGGUAGAAACCAUCAAAGGAAUGAGAGCUGGUUGCAGGAACAGAUAAAGAGAAAGAUGACUUUGCAGCUAGCUCAUGAAGGAGAUACAGCACAGGACAUCUCCCUCCCAAAGGAUGUAUGUGGGUUCAAGAAAGAGAUGCUGGAGCAACCCGGUCUGUCACUUUGUCCUCUACUUGUCCUUUGUGUUUCCAUUGCUGGCCAUUGUCCAGCAAGUUUCCACCUCCUUGGUUGGUUUGUUGCACCUUCACCCCCGUCUCACAUCCCUCACACCGCACUGGCUGAGAUAAAAAGUCUUCUACUCUGACCCCAAACCCCUGAAUUCUUUUGCUGCACUGGAAAACAUCAGUGGGAACAGUCUCAUUAAUUUCAGUGGUCCUCUGCCAUCAACUGGCAUUAGCAAUGAUGAGUGAAGGAUCUGGAAAAGUGGUUUGUUUUUUUUUCCUAUACUGUCAGCCAGGUAGAAAGGUGGCAAAAGGAGUGCAUUAAAAAAAUCUGCAUUUAUUUGUCAAUA